UUCGUAAAUUUUCAUUGUUGGAUCCCUGGAACCUUUUAAAGAUUGAGAUAUCUGCUGCAAAUCUCAUAUCUUUUGAGUAUAAGCCUUCUGCUCUUGUAGACCUUACUUUUUUUCAUGUUCCUCGUCUUGCAAAAUUUUAUUUCUUUAUGUGGGAAGCAGAAAGAUUGCCUCAUCUUUUAUCCCAAUUAAAAGGGUUCCUAAUUUAGAGAUCCUAUCUUGUGUUGUUUAUACAGAUCAGGCAAAGAAGUUGCCUGCUGCAGGCAUAUCAGGACUUAAAAAUCUGAAGCAAUUGAGAAUUUUCUAUUUUGAUGAGAAAAAUUCUGAAGAUUUAAAAUGGCUAUUGGAUAUUCUAAAAGCUUCCCCUCUUUUAGAAAGCCUUCAUUUAACAUCAAUCUUAACAACAAUUAUUCCGGAUGAUGAUCCGGUACUCAAAAAGCUGUGUUCCUCCUGCAAAGUAGACGAAAGUUCCACAAGCCUUCGGGAAGGUCGAAGAUCCUUCGAUGAUUGAGUUAGAACACGUAAAAGUUUAUGAGGAAAAGAUGAUCCCUCAGGGUUACCUUCCCAUCUCUAUUUAUAGGACUGCAUGCGUGCUCUUCAAGUGUCUACAGGUAGAGCUGCUUUGGCAAAGUCCAAGGGGCGAAUUAAUGAAGUCGGGAGUGGGGAAGCAAGAAGGAUGAGGAGGUCUGUCAGUUCCCGUUGCUGGACUUUAGGCUGAGAAGUAGAACCUAUACCUCCAGUGCCAAUUAACACAAUGAACUUUUCUAACAUCUUCACUACCAUUCCAGAAAAGGUUCCUUUGGAUUUCUGAUAUAUUAUAAUGUUGUUCAAAAUGAAAUUUAUUAGGUCCUAUUGUGCCGGAAAGGGGUUUGUACUAAGGUGGCCCCUUAUCACCUUAGUGUUCAUCCUGUGUGCAGAAAGCCUCAGUGCUUUAUAUGAGGGGGAGGGCGAGCCUUAUGGUUGUCAGUUUUGUAGAUGGGCGUCUUCUAUUUCUUAUUUAUUUAUUCUUCGUCGAUGAUUGCAAUCCGUUGUUUAAGCCAUUUAUGGAGAAGUUUCAAUGAUUAAAGAUGCUCUCCACAAAUAUGAGAUUGCCUCGAGUCAAGUGGAUCGAGUUUAGUAGCAAUCACAAAACUGGAAUAGUACAAUAUUGUCCGGAGGAGGAAAAGAAAGCAGUCGCCCAAGCUAUUCCUAAUUAUGGAAUGAACUAGUUUAAUACCCGCACUUUAUGCGGCACUUAACUGAAUAUUUAAUUUAUAAAUUAAAUUUAUAUUUAUAUCUUAUGACUAAAU